UACGUAGGGGGCAAGCGUUGUCCGGAAUCAUUGGGCGUAAAGCGCGUGUAGGCGGCCCGGUAAGUCCGCUGUGAAAGUCGGGGGCUCAACCCUCGAAUGCCGGUGGAUACUGUCGGGCUAGAGUGCGGGAGAGGCGAGUGGAAUUCCUGGUGUAGCGGUGAGAUGCGCAGAUAUCAGGAGGAACACCAAUUGCGAAGGCAGCUCGCUGGAACGUAACUGACGCUGAGACGCGAAAGCGUGGGGAGCAAACAGG
rnacentral:rRNA from 1 species